GUGAGGAGAAACACUGCCCCUUUCCCCAGGGCUGACUGCACUUUGCACCAAUGUUCUGAUGUCCCACGGUGUUCUGAUGUCCCAAGGCUGAUGUCAACAUUUCGUUACCUUGCUGCGAAGCCCAACUUGAAGACUACAUUAAUUUACAUUUGCCUGCGCUCCAAUAAUGCGUUCCAGAUCAGCGCCAGCAAUUGUGACACUGAGACCAAUCAUCUCUCAAUUCUUACCCUUUAUUCAACAAGCAUUUAUUGAGCACCUCUUAUGGCAUUUGGUGCUAUGAAUAAAUUUGACUAGAUUCCUGUCUUCAAGAAAUGUUAGGAAUAGCUGAAAAUAUAGGUAAGUUACUCAACAAUUGAGAUAGAUGCUAUUAUAGUGAAACAGUUGCAGACUAAUAAAGGCCAUUUUUAAUAACCUUAGAAGAUUUAUUUUAGUGAACGUUUUAUCACUUUGGUGCUAGAAUGAAAUUUUAAUGGAGCCAAGCAUAAAACCCUGAAUUUGCUCUUCUGUUGUAUCACAGAGUAAACAUUUUUCUAAAUUAGAAAAUAAUGUGUUUAUUAUAGAAAUUCAGGAAAAUAUAAAAGUAAAAAGGAGAAAUAAAAUUAUUAACUCACAUUCAGAGAUAACUACUGUUAACUUUUGGUAUAUAUCCUUUUAGCCUAUUUAUCAUCUACCCAUAACUGUCUUUUUUUUAAUUUUAGAAAAACAAAACAUAAAGCUGGAAUCCUGAGAGUUUUUAUUCCUUUUCCCCUUUUAUUAUAAACACUUUAUUAUGAAAUAUUAUGGAAAAUAUGACUGUUAAUGACUAUGUAAUAUGACUGUACCAUGAUUAAAAUUAAAAGUAUUC